UACGCUGUUUGAUCACAUGACAUGUUAGCCGGCAGUGUCUCCUAAAAAGAGAGCUGUUUAGAGGUGAGUGAUUAAGUUUUUCUCCUAAAUAGAGAUCAUUACAGAACGCCUAGUCCUACUUAAAAUACCAUUCAUUUUUCUUUUAUCAUCUGCUCGAACUGAGGAAAACGUUUGACUAACUCAAAGAAAAGUUCCGCGCCUCCCCUGCCUGUCUGCAGAGGCAGUUUUGAAUUCAGGAGCGGCAUGAUGGCAGCGGCAAACCCUGGCGGUUCUCCGGGUUCGUGGCAACCACGGAUGGGAAAAUGUGGAGGUUGCACGGCUGAUGUUUACUGUUCGUGGCACAGGAAGAGGCAGUUUCAUUUCAGGAAUGAGUGUGCACAAUCAAAGAAUAGAGCGACUGUGGAGAGACCUCUGGGUGGCCGUUACAUGCAUUUACUACGAUGUUCUUCACAACCCUGAGGAAGAAGGCCUUCUUGACAUUUCAAAUGCUGCACACCUCUUUUGCUGCCAUUACAUCUUUCUUCCUCGACUAGAGGAUAAUUUUAAUACAUUUUGCAGUGGAUGGGACAACCAUCCACUGCGAACAGAAAACACCAUGAGUCCCCCAACCAGCUGUGGGAGUUGGGUCACAGAUAUUACCCUGUUCCUGUUCCAGAAAACACACAGCUUAUCACACAUUUGAUUUCCAUGUGUGACGACUGCAAGUGUCCAGAGUGAGGACAGACUGAGGGACCCACUGCUGCACAUCAUCUGUGAGGCUUUGCACCCCUGAUGAUCCACC